rnacentral:rRNA from 1 species
CCUACGGGAGGCAGCAGUAGGGAAUCUUCCGCAAUGGGCGAAAGCCUGACGGAGCAACGCCGCGUGAGUGAUGAAGGUCUUCGGAUCGUAAAACUCUGUUAUCAGGGAAGAACAAAUGUGUAAGUAACUGUGCACAUCUUGACGGUACCUGAUCAGAAAGCCACGGCUAACUACGUGCCAGCAGCCGCGGUAAUACGUAGGUGGCAAGCGUUAUCCGGAAUUAUUGGGCGUAAAGCGCGCGUAGGCGGUUUUUUAAGUCUGAUGUGAAAGCCCACGGCUCAACCGUGGAGGGUCAUUGGAAACUGGAAAACUUGAGUGCAGAAGAGGAAAGUGGAAUUCCAUGUGUAGCGGUGAAAUGCGCAGAGAUAUGGAGGAACACCAGUGGCGAAGGCGACUUUCUGGUCUGUAACUGACGCUGAUGUGCGAAAGCGUGGGGAUCAAACAGGAUUAGAUACCCUGGUAGUCCACGACGUAACGAUAGAGUGNUAGUAGUUAGGGGUUUACCGGUCCCGUUACGUGUCGUGC